AACGAACGCUGGCGGCAGGCUUAACACAUGCAAGUCGAGCGCCCCGCAAGGGGAGCGGCAGACGGGUGAGUAACGCGUGGGAACGUACCCUUUGCUACGGAAUAGCUCCGGGAAACUGGAAUUAAUACCGUAUGUGCCCUACGGGGGAAAGAUUUAUCGGCAAAGGAUCGGCCCGCGUUGGAUUAGCUAGUUGGUGGGGUAAUGGCCUACCAAGGCGACGAUCAGUAACUGGUCUGAGAGGAUGAUCAGUCACACCGGAACUGAGACACGGUCCGGACUCCUACGGGAGGCAGCAGUGGGGAAUAUUGGACAAUGGGCGCAAGCCUGAUCCAGCAAUGCCGCGUGAGUGAUGAAGGCCCUAGGGUUGUAAAGCUCUUUUACCCGGGAAGAUAAUGACUGUACCGGGAGAAUAAGCCCCGGCUAACUCCGUGCCAGCCGCCGCAGUAAAAC
rnacentral:rRNA from 1 species